rnacentral:snRNA from 18 species
AUCCAAGUGCACGGGUUUUACGUUACCAGUGAAGGUUCGCCUGAGGCAACGUUUUUGCUAGUUGAAAACUACAACUACUGACCACUCCAUGUUGGUCUUCGGAUCGGCUGGGAAUUUUUGAAACAAUUAUAACCAAACACUCAUU